GCUAUUGCCUGAUCAAAUGGUGGUACAGUUUUCUUCUUAGCUGCUACUUGGUGAAAAAUGUUGGAGAUCUACUGGUUUAAAGCCUGUUGUGUAAAGGUACAAGAGAGACCUUUGCACACUUGUUUUGAUAUGUCUGAAAACCUUAAAAUAAACCCCUCAGCUGUCAGAACACAGUAAACACAGUAAGUGUGUUUGUGCACACACUAAUCUGUGGUUUUACUCCAAUGAACUCCAUAUGAAAUGCAGAAACUAUUCAGCUCAGGCCGAUCUAAAGGGUUAAUGCUGACAUCUGAUCAACAGUAAAAAUUCUUUCCAACCAGCACCAAUAAGAACUGCAUGAUCAGAUGCUGAUAUUGCUUCAUUAUAUGAAGUCAUUGGGGUAAAAACAGCCACAAACAUAAGCCACAAACAUUAGCAAUACACAAAGAUUAAUACAGAUAUACAUGUUAAACUUAAUGUGUAGUUCAAUGAAGGGAAUUUUGUUUAUUUUUUUGUCUUUUGUCAUUUAUUUUUAUUAAUGUUUUGUUUUUUAUGGUUGAGCCAAUGAUUAGUUUGCCCUUAAUUAAACUACACAAACUCCUAUUUGUCUGAUAAACUCUUCUAAAGGAGACUGAAGUUUGUCCUGCAGUUUAUUCCUCUGGUGUGUUUGUUUGUUCAGUGUGAGAUCAGGAUCAUGUGUGUCCAGCUCUGUGUCUCUGAAGAGUGACUGGUCAAAAGGGAAUCCACCAGAGUUUAGUGGGGAAACACCAUCAUCUGCACAAAGUGUUGAAUAUGAGUCAGCAGAUUUAGGAGACGAGACUCACCGGGUACACAUGAGUUUCACAGACAAUCUCCAGUGGAUCUUCCAGAAUCUUGAGAGCAAAAUUAUCAGAUUUCU